CAGAGAUGGAUUGGUGCCUUCGGGAACUCAGAGACAGGUGGUGCAUGGUUGUCGUCAGCUCGUGUCGUGAGAUGUUGGGUUAAGUCCCGCAACGAGCGCAACCCUUAUGCUUAGUUGCUAUCAUUAAGUUGGGCACUCUAGCGAGACUGCCGGUAAUAAACCGGAGGAAGGUGGGGAUGACGUCAAAUCAUCAUGCCCCUUAUGACCUGGGCUACACACGUGCUACAAUGGCAAUACAAAGGGCAGCGAAACCGCGAGGUCAAGCAAAUCCCAAAAAGCCGGUCUCAGUUCGGAUUGUAGGCUGCAACUCGCCUACAUGAAGUCGGAAUCGCUAGUAAUCGCGGAUCAGCACGCCGCGGUGAAUACGUUCCCGGGCCUUGUACACACCGCCCGUCACACCACGAGAGUUUGUAACACCCGAAGUCGGUGGUCUAACCGCAAGGAAGAAGCCGCCUAAGGUGGGACCGAUGAUUGGGGUGAAGUCGUAACAAGGUAGCCGUAUCGGAACGUGCGGCUGGAUCACCUCCUUU
rnacentral:ncRNA from 1 species